GGGGGAUAUUGCACAAUGGGCGAAAGCCUGAUGCAGCAACGCCGCGUGAAGGAUGACGGUCUUCGGAUUGUAAACUUCUUUUCUUAGUGACGAAACAAAUGACGGUAGCUAAGGAAUAAGCAUCGGCUAACUACGUGCCAGCAGCCGCGGUAAUACGUAGGUGGCAAGCGUUGUCCGGAAUUACUGGGUGUAAAGGGAGCGCAGGCGGGACUGCAAGUUGGAUGUGAAAUACCGAGGCUCAACCUCGGAGCUGCAUCCAAAACUGUAGUUCUUGAGUGAAGUAGAGGUAGGCGGAAUUCCGAGUGUAGCGGUGAAAUGCGUAGAUAUUCGGAGGAACACCAGUGGCGAAGGCGGCCUACUGGGCUUUAACUGACGCUGAGGCUCGAAAGUGUGGGGAGCAAACAGG
rnacentral:rRNA from 1 species